GACGAACCGAGCGAACGUUGUUCGGAAUUACUGGGCGUAAAGCGCGCGCAGGCGGCCCUUUAAGUCCGUCGGUCAAAUGCCGGGGCUCAACCCCGAUGCAUGCCGAGGAUACUGGAGGGCUGGAGACACGUAGAGGCAAGCGGAAUUCCGGGUGUAGCGGUGGAAUGCGUAGAGAUCCGGAAGAACACCAGAGGCGAAGGCGGCAUCCUGGACCAAUAUUGACGCUGAGGAGCGAAAGCUAGGGGAGCAAACGGG
rnacentral:rRNA from 1 species